UACAGAGGGUGCAAGCGUUAAUCGGAAUUACUGGGCGUAAAGCGUGCGUAGACGGUUGCGUAAGUCAGAUGUGAAAGCCCCGGGCUCAACCUGGGAAUUGCAUUUGAGACUGCGUAGCUAGGGUGCGGAAGAGGGAAGCGGAAUUUCCGGUGUAGCGGUGAAAUGCGUAGAUAUCGGAAGGAACACCAGUGGCGAAAGCGGCUCCUGGUCCAGCACCGACGUUCAGGCACGAAAGCGUGGGGAGCAAACAGGG
rnacentral:rRNA from 1 species